AUUAUUAAUGGAGCAAAAAGGAAAAAGGGCCAACACUUGAUGUUGAGCUCCGACAGUUUUUGACUCUGAUGGGUUUUCUUUCUACGACAAUUCUAAGGCUAUUCUCAGCCAUAUCUUGGAAAUUUAUUAAUAAAAGUUCACAGGUUAAUUUAACUAAA